UCGGACUACACCUCUCGGACUACACCUCUCCUAAAAGAAAGAAGCCCAGAUUCAAGAAGUAAUUUGCCAAAAGGGAGGCGGUGACAAGACUGGGCUGGAAUUGGGCCCUCAGGGAUUUAUGUGUGAGCGAACAGCAGGCAGCUGUCUCCUCGGCAGCGGCUGCCACCGGGAACUACAAGGCAACGUGAAGCCUGCGCUGGAAAAACCCCUCCUGGGCCGGUCCUGCAAGCAGCCAAGAUGCGGUUAAAGAUUCCAAUUCUGAUGGGAUCCCAUGUCUCCUAGGUUACAGCUGAGGACUGUGUUUUCCUUUAUUACAACAGAAAAUGUGUGUUCCCCAGGGACUGUUCAAACAUCUGUAUGAGGUACACCGUGUGUGUGUGCGUGUGUAUGCGUGUUUGCGC
rnacentral:lncRNA from 1 species